GCUCAGUUGGUAAAGCACAAGGCUCUUAACCUUGUCGACGUGGAUUCAAGCCCCAU
rfam:Triticum aestivum genome assembly, contig: Triticum_aestivum_CS42_TGACv1_scaffold_320345_4BL